AAAAAAGACCAUUUAGCAAAUACAUGCCCAAAACCAAAAAAAUAUUGCGAUUUUAUUAAAGAAGAUUGUGUUGCAACAACUAGUUCACUAGUCAACAAAAAAAGUAUUUAUGAUAAUUUAUUAGUACCUUCAGAUUCAUCAAAUGCAGAUGAUUCAGACACUGGUCCA